AGCGAACGCUGGCGGCGUGCCUAACACAUGCAAGUCGAACGUGAAAAGGGAAACCUGAGUAAAGUGGCGUACGGGUGAGUAACGCGUAGGUAAUCUACCCCAGAAUCUGGAAUAACCUGCCGAAAGGCGGGCUAAUACUGGAUAGAGCGAGGGAACUCGUAAGAGAGUUUUUCGGGAAAGGGAGCCCGCAAGGGCCUUCGUUCUGGGAUGAGCCUGCGUCUCAUUAGCUAGUUGGUAAGGUAACGGCUUACCAAGGCGAUGAUGAGUAGCUGGUCUGAGAGGAUGAUCAGCCACACUGGAACUGAAACACGGUCCAGACUCCUACGGGAGGCAGCAGUGGGGAAUCUUGCGCAAUGGACGAAAGUCUGACGCAGCCACGCCGCGUGAGUGAAGAAGGCCUUCGGGUUGGAAAGCUCUGUCGGAUGGGACGAACAUCUUCAUAGUGAAUAGCUAUGAGGACUGACGGUACCAUCAAAGGAAGCACCGGCUAACUCCGUG
rnacentral:rRNA from 1 species